GCACCUCAUAAAACGGGUGCCGGGAUUGCUACCCCGACGAUGACUACUGCGCAUAACCGCGCUCAGGCGGUUUUUUU
rnacentral:sRNA from 20 species